AUCCUCCCCCUCCCCCACACAUAGCCUCAGGGCACAGUCACAGCUGCUACUUCCCUCUCCCCCCUGACUAGGCCCUGGCAGCAGCCAGGGCAGAAUUCUGGGAUGCUCUGAUGUCCUUUGUGAUGGUCCCAAAGGCAAGCAGCCAAUGGGAGCGAGAGCAGGAAAAUCAGGACAGUCCCCGAGGCCCUUGAACCCCGGCCCCAGCUGCAGAGCAGCACCAGCUUUGCUUGGCUCACCCUGAGCACCAAGAAUCUAUCUUUUCCUCGUCCCGACGCUGAUCCUGGGGGACCGUGAUGUUGGCCAGCUCCAUUUCCAGCUCUAUCACCUGCUGCAUCUGCUCCCUCGUGGAGUCAGGGUCACCUCCCAGUAGAGUGCCCAGUUCCACCAUGUAGUCCAGGUGCUAACACCAGUUGAGAAGCCUCAUGGCAAAGGCGUCCCUCUGAGCUCUCACAGAGCCUCUUUUUAGCCAAAGCUGAGUAAAUAAUAACCCAUUCCACACUCAGCAACCAAAGAUGCCCAAGAGCCAACAUGGCGGCCCUCAGCAGAGAAGACCUCGCUCCCCACCCAUCGCUAUCCUGACGUCCCUGAAAAGGAGGGAGUCUGUCAAAGACAACGUCAGAGAUAGGGCAGAAAAGGGAAAGAUGGGAAGCGGGGCUCUGACCUGCCCACACCCCCAUCAUGAUUCCAGCACCAAUUACGAGCGUCCCAUUCCCAUCUGCAGUCUUCCAGAAGCCCCCACGAGCUCUGCAGAAUAUCCUUCAAUGAAUCUUAGGUUGGACACCCCCAUGCCAUGGCCCAUCCUUUGCCUUAUCCCUGGUGCGGUCUCUGAGAGGCCAUGAAAUGAUUCAUUUGGAGAGACCCUGGCCACAAAACGUUGGCACUCGCCCAGCUGAAGUUGGGAAGCCUUCUUGUUCUGGCCAUAUGACCACCGGCAGGUCCCAUCCUAACUCUUGGUUUCCUCAUUUGUGAGGUAGUUGGACUAGAUCAUCUGCUAGAACUGGGAGAAGCUUUGAGGUCUCCUCAUUUUACAGAUGAAGGAACUGAAGGCCACAAAAAUUAAAUGGCUCCCAUGUCUUCAGGUCCAGCAGCCUCACCAGGGCACCUCUCCAAGACCUAAAUCUUGUGCUUUUUCACAAAGCUCUCAUUGAUUGCAUGUUGACUUCCACAUCAACCACUUUCAAGUUCUCCCUCCUAUCUCUGCCCUUCUUUGUUCCUACAAGUCACUCUAUUGAGAAG